rnacentral:lncRNA from 1 species
GCAUAUGUACUGCCCACUAAACGCAAACACAGUUGAAGAUUGUUACGGUUACAAAGAUAGACAUUGCAGUGAAAUGAGCAGAACAGCGCGGGAAUAUUUACAAAACUAUUACGAAAAGCACAACAAGAAUUUACUACGGUUGAAUCAGAAAGUACAAUUUAGUGUGCCAAAAUGGCUGAAGGUUUAUGGUUAGGUAUAUACAUUUAAAGAAAAUUAUCGAAACGAAAUAUAUGGCUGGCAGCACCUAACCUACACAGCACGAAUCGUGGACGUCACUUGGUGCUGUUCACUAGCUACGUAUAUAAUUUUAGAGGAUACCAUAGGGGUAACUCUUGGGCCACGAUAUCAAUAUAUUUAUGAAAAAUUAAGCAUUGAAAAGAAAUUUUUAUCAUAACAAAUUAUAUGGCUGCCCAAAACAUACAAAGAAUUUAUAAGCACUCCCAAAA